CGCUACCAGCCACACACAAAACCACUACCCAAUAACCUAAUAUGUGCAACCUAGAUGUGCAUGUACCAAAUUCCAUCAAUAUAAACAUCCAGAAAAUCGAAUACAAACCUUCCCUUAGAAUUAAUAGUUUAACCUUUGGAUUUCAACAGAAGGAACCCAUAGACGUCACUAGCACUGGUUUUAUAAGAAACAUGAAUUGAUUUCGACAUAAUCAAAGAGGCAAACUGAAGAUAGAAAGAAAUAAAAGGAUGAAGCUGCUAUGUUGACGCAAAGGAUAAUUUUUGGAAGCUUCAAUUAAGGUAUGGAGUGAGAGAGAAGAGUUCG
rnacentral:lncRNA from 1 species